CCACCUGUUUGGUCUCAUUCCCUCGAUCGAUGUCUCGCGUCACCAAACGCUCUUCUUUUUCUUGCUGCUAUCCGGUCAUGCUUGCUUGCUAGGGUUUAACUCCUUCAAUCCGCCGGGCAGAAUCUAAUCCGUUCUUCGAUCUCAAGAUGAUCGCCUCGGCCAAUUCACUGCUGCCGCCGCCGACGUCGUUUCUCCCUUCGGUCGGCAAUUCCCCGAAUUUCUCCCGUGCUACGAGGAGAUUCCUUCGGAUUAAGGCUGCUUCCGCCAGCUCCGAUGAGAACCGUUCGCCGUCAGCGAAGGGGAAGAGCCCUCUGGCGGCCGUCCUGGAGGUGCCGAAGACGCUGUGGCGGCAGACGAUGCAGCCGCUCGGCGACUUCGGGUUCGGGUGGAGGAGUGUGUGGGAGGGCGGGGUCGGGCUGUUCAUCGUCUCCGGGGCGGCGCUCUUCGCCCUCGCUAUGGUCUGGCUACGGGGGAUCCAGCUGCGGUCGCGGUUCAGGAAGUAUCAGGUGGCGUUCGAGUUCUCGCAGGCGUGCGGGAUCUGCGUGGGCACCCCCGUCCGGAUCCGUGGGGUGAACGUAGGCAGCGUGGUGCGGGUCGAUUCCACCUUGAGGAGCAUCGAUGCGAUUGCCGAGGUUGAUGAUGACAAAAUUAUUGUACCUCGAAAUUCAUUGGUUGAAGUGAAUCAGUCUGGCCUUCUUAUGGAGACCUUGAUUGAUAUUACGCCAAGGGAUCCGCUGCCUGAACCUUCUGCAGGUCCUCUUGAUCCUGAUUGUGCCGAACAAGGCCUAAUUGUGUGCGACAAAGAGAAGAUCAGAGGACAGCAGGGGGUAAGCUUGGAUGCAUUGGUAGGUGUGUUCACCCGUCUUGGACAAGAAAUGGAUGAAAUUGGUAUUUCGAGAAGCUAUAGAUUGGCUGAAAAAGUUGCAUCUGUUGUAGAAGAGGCACAGCCACUUCUAGCAAAGGUUGAAGGCUUGGCUGAAAGUAUUCAACCUUUGCUUGCUGAAGUACGUGAUAGCACUCUGCUGCAGGAUGUGGAAAGUUUAACCAAAAGUCUAGCUGAGGCAACCGAGGGUUUAAGGAAGGUUCAGUCUGCCAUCCUAACUCCUGAGAAUGUUGACCUAAUUAGGCAAUCUGUUUACACCCUCAUAUUUACCUUAAAGAAUAUUGAGAGUAUUAGCUCAGACAUCUCGGGCUUCACGGGCGAUGAGACUACAAGGAGAAAUUUGAAGUUGUUAAUCAAGUCUCUCAGCCGGCUUUUAUGAUCAUAUUGCUGAAACCAGGUUGCGGGAAUCAAACAGUACCCUAAAUAUCAUGCUUGGAAUAUUAAUUCAGCCCAGCCCAGCUUAGGUUGUGAUUGUAUUCUUUGCUGCUUCAGUAUGUGUCAGUGAGUUCUGCAGUGAACAAAUGAGCCGUGGCUGGUGAGUCAGCAGCAUGGCUAGGUCCACGGGUCAACGUCGGGAGUUCUCUGUCGGUUCUGUCGGUUGAGCUGGACGAUGAGGUAGGUCGAGCCCUCGCGACGGGGUGUUAGUCAGUGUUUCUUGGUCCGGGCGUCGUCUGCAUCGAGCUGCGCCUCUUCGUUCUCGGGGUAGGUGACAGCUCGUCCUCGUUUGUUGGAUGGCGAUUUCCGGGCGAGGUGCUCGUGGCUCGCGGGUGAUCGCUUCCCUGCAAAAAGGCUUUCGUCGGGUGAUUUUCGACUUUGGCCCCUCCGACGAGUAAGUUAGUUGUGGGUGAUAUUGUGUUUUUUCUCUUCCUCUCUCCUUUUUGAGACUGAGAUAGAGGUUUUUAUAUUAGCGUGAGAGGGUCGAUCGUACGUGGAUUGGCGUGGUGAACACAUCACGAUAUUAGUACGGGUUCCGACUUGGUGUGCGGGGCGUUGUCGUCCCGGGAUUGUCGGGACCAGGCAUAUCGAACAGUAUCCUGGGGUGCGAGUUUUGGCGUGGCAUGUGGCAUCAGCUGUGACGUGUCCGUGGGGUAAAACAUGCGUUAUCACGUGUUGGUUCGUCAACAUGUUUACUGUGUCAUGCA